rnacentral:lncRNA from 1 species
CCGUGCGGCUGUUCCGGCCAGGGCUAGGAAGGCCGCGUCUGCGCAGUCGGCCUUGGCGCUCUGCACUUUCUCCCUGGAGGAGUGCCGAGUCACUCUCUGGCCCGCGAACUGUGGGACGCGCUGGGCUCGAGAAACAAAGGAAACCCACGCACACGUGUUUGCAGUAUAGCGAACGUGAAAACAGCGGGCCUCUUCACUUUCUCUAUAAUGCUGCCCUUUGAAAGCUUCCAAGGCUUCACUGAUCCCCGGUGGUAGAAUGUAUAUAGUGCCAGACUGAACUGCAAUGUUUCCAUUUCAUACAGAGCCAUAUAUGUACACAUAUAUUCCCCAUGAGUGCCAUGAAGUAGGACCUUUGCAUAGAGUGAAACAGCAAUCUUUCCCAACCCAAACAGAAAAAGUUUCCAUUUGUGUCAAUAGAAACAAGUUUUUCUGUCUUGAGCCACAGCCUGCUACAGCUCUGCCAGUCAGUCUAUGGAUGCUCUGUGAUAGCAUUCUGGUGAAAUGGUUGGUGAAGAUGGGGCUCACUUCAGAGCUGAAUCUGUCUGAGGGCAGGAUCUACAGAGCUCUUCCAGAAGAUCCUGAAACCAUUAAGGCGCCUAAGGACCCAGUCAAACACCUACAAUCAAUAGCCCUAAUCUGAGAGCAAUCUGUAAUAAUAAUUAAACAAUUUUUAAAAACAUAAAAUAAUAUUUUGGGGUAUUUUCUCUUCAUUUGAAAGUAAAAGCAGAAAAUUUGGGAAACUAGAGGGAAUUAUUUAAAUUUAAUAAACAUUUAAUUAAAUAAAUCAUUUAAUGAGCUAAGUAUUUGGCAAGUUUUAGAAACCAUCAUCUUUAGGGCACAGGAAAUCACUUCCAGGGAUCCUUGACAACUGGUUAAACUGCAUCUCUCUGAUGAAGGCUUUCAGAUGUUUCCAGGUUCUCACAGGCCUAAAGGAGACACAGGCAAGAGACUCUCCCUACACUGUGGAACACCUCUUCAAGUAAGGUGUUCAGGGUAGUGAAUUAUGAAGUUAGAGGAUGGAGCCAUUGCUACAGGGCCCCAUAAAGAUG